rnacentral:rRNA from 1 species
CCUACGGGUGGCAGCAGUGGGGAAUAUUGCACAAUGGGGGAAACCCUGAUGCAGCGACGCCGCGUGAGUGAAGAAGUAUUUCGGUUUGUAAAGCUCUAUCAGCAGGGAAGAAAAUGACGGUACCUGACUAAGAAGCCCCGGCUAACUACGUGCCAGCAGCCGCGGUAAUACGGAAGGCCCGAGCGUUAUCCGGAUUCAUUGGGCUUAAAGGGAGCGUAGGCGGGCGUUCAAGUCAGCUGUAAAAUCGCGCGGCUCAACCGCGCCCCGCAGUUGAAACUGGACGCCUUGAGUUCACAACAGGCAGGCGGAAUUCGUGGUGUAGCGGUGAAAUGCAUAGAUAUCACGAGGAACCCCGAUUGCGAAGGCAGCCUGCCGGGGUGCGACUGACGCUGAGGCUCGAAGGUGCGGGUAUCAAACAGGAUUAGAUACCCUUGUAGUC